ACUCAAAUGAAUUGACGGGGGCCCGCACAAGCGGUGGAGCAUGUGGUUUAAUUCGACGCAACGCGAAGAACCUUACCUGGGCUCGAACGGCUUUGGACCAUCCUUAGAAAUAGGGACUUCCCGCAAGGGACCGGAGUCGAGGUGCUGCAUGGCUGUCGUCAGCUCGUGUCGUGAGAUGUUGGGUUAAGUCCCGCAACGAGCGCAACCCUUGUCCUGUGUUGCCAUAUAUGGAACUCGCAGGAGACCGCCAGGGAUAACCUGGAGGAAGGUGGGGAUGACGUCAAGUCCUCAUGGCCUUUAUGUCCAGGGCUACACACGUGCUACAAUGGACGGUACAGAGCGCUGCCAACCCGCGAGGGGGAGCUAAUCGCAAAAAACCGUUCUCAGUUCGGAUUGCAGGCUGCAACUCGCCUGCAUGAAGCUGGAAUCGCUAGUAAUGCUAUAUCAGAACGAUAGCGUGAAUACGUUCCCGGGCCUUGUACACACCGCCCGU
rnacentral:rRNA from 1 species